UACAGAGGGUGCAAGCGUUGUUCGGAAUUAUUGGGCGUAAAGGGAGUGUAGGCGGUCUGUUAAGUCUUCUGUGAAAUCUACGGGCUUAGCCUGUAACGUGCAGAGGAAACUGACAGGCUUGAGUGUCGGAGAGGAUAGGGGAAUUCCCGGUGUAGAGGUGAAAUUCGUAGAGAUCGGGAGGAACACCAGUGGCGAAGGCGCCUGUCUGGCUGACAACUGACGCUGAGACUCGAAAGCAUGGGGAGCAAACAGG
rnacentral:rRNA from 1 species